UGGGAGAAGCUGAAAGAAGAAGAAGAUUUUAAAAUUGUAUAAAUAAUAAUGUGUUUGUGGUGAAAUCACACUGUGAUUGGUUCCGGAGUGGAGCAUUUAUUUUACCCGGAGUAUUUAUGUUGUAGCACAAGAAGCGGAAGUCGCAGUGUGAUGCUUUGAAAUCUUCCGGUAUUAGUCGGAUGUGUGGGCGGGGACACGUGAUGUGAUGGACCCCCGACACGCCCUGCUGCGGCCCCUGAGCUGUAACGAGGUGGUGGGGAUGUUGCUAAGACUCACCAUCUUUGGAGCAGCAACGUACUACAGCAUCAGAUGGGUGGUGGAGGCUCUGGACCCGACGCAGAAGCAAAAAUCAGAUGCUAAGAAGAGGGCUCAGCAGAUGAUGAGGAGGAUCGGGGUGGAGGGAGUGAGUCUGAAUGAGUAUGAGAUGAAUAUUGCUGCUCACCUGGUCCAUCCUCACAGUAUGAAGGUGACAUGGAGAGAUGUUGCAGGUCUUGAUGACAUCAUCACUGAACUGCAAGACACCGUCAUCCUGCCUUUUCAAAAACGUCAUCUGUUCCGUGGAUCCAAACUUUUCCAGCCACCCAGAGGUGUGUUGUUAUAUGGUCCACCUGGCUGUGGGAAAACUUUAAUCGCUAAGGCAGCAGCCAGAGCCUCAGGCUGUAGGUUCAUCAACCUGCAGGCCUCCACCCUGACCGACAAGUGGUACGGAGAAUCAGAGAAGCUCACUGCUGCUGUCUUCUCACUGGCUGUUAAACUGCAGCCCUGCAUCGUCUUCAUCGAUGAGAUAGACUCGUUUCUAAGAAGUCGCUCAAGUUUGGAUCACGAGACCACAGCGAUAAUGAAGGCCCAGUUUAUGAGCCUGUGGGACGGACUGGAGACCAGCUCUGAUACUCAGGUGAUGGUGAUGGGGGCCACUAACAGACCGCAGGACAUGGACGCAGCGAUCCGGCGCCGGAUGCCUGCAACCUUCCACGUGGGACUUCCUAAUACGAGUCAGAGGAAGGAGAUUCUUCACCUCAUCCUGUCAGGAGAAAACCUGAGUAAGCUGGUGAACCUGCUGGAGAUCGCUGAGCAGACGGAGGGGUUCUCAGGAAGUGAUCUGAGGGAGUUGUGUCGUGACGCUGCUCUGUACCGAGUCCGAGAUUUUAUACGCAAGCAGCAGAUAAAACAAAUCACACAGCAGCUGCACCUCCAACAGGAUGAAGAUGAAGAGGAGAUGGUGGACAGUGUGUGUCUGAGGCCCAUCUCUCAGCUGGACCUGCUCUUCGGUCUGGACAAGAUGAACGAAUCAAAACAGGCCACUGCUCCGGCUCACAUCAGUAAUGUGUUUAUAAACUAAAACACACGAACGAGCUGCUGUGAGUAGAUCAGAGUGGAUCAUAGAGAUAUCAACAGAUGGAUGGAUGGAAAGAACUUUCUCCUUGUAUAGUACAGCAAAUAAAUAUCACGACUCUGCCAGUGAAAAAUGUGUAAACGUUGAUAAUCAAGUACACUAUAUAAAUUAUAUAAAUAUAUAUAUAGUGCAGGUGUGUGAGGUACAGUGUGUGUAGAG